rnacentral:rRNA from 1 species
ACACGGAGGAUCCGAGCGUUAUCCGGAUUUAUUGGGUUUAAAGGGUGCGUAGGCGGUUUGCUAAGCGGGAGGUGAAAUGCCGGCGCUCAACGUCGGAAGUGCCUCCCGAACUGGUGGACUUGAAUGACUCUGCCGUGGGAGGAAUGUGUAGUGUAGCGGUGAAAUGCUUAGAGAUUACACAGAACACCGAUUGCGAAGGCAUCUCACGAAGGGUUGAUUGACGCUGAGGCACGAAAGCGUGGGGAUCAAACAGGAUUAGAUACCCUGGUAGUCCACGCAGUAAACGAUGAUGGCUAACCGCUGGGCUUAUCAGUUCAGUGGCCAAGCGAAAGCGAUAAGCCAUCCACCUGGGGAGUACGACCGCAAGGUUGAAACUCAAAUGAAUUGACGGGG